UACGUAGGGCGCAAGCGUUAUCCGGAAUUACUGGGCGUAAAGCGUGCGUAGGUGGUUUGUUAAGUCUGCUGUGAAAGCCCCGGGCUCAACCUGGGAAUGGCAAUGGAUACUGGCAAGCUAGAGUGCGGUAGAGGGUAGUGGAAUUCCCGGUGUAGCGGUGAAAUGCGUAGAGAUCGGGAGGAACACCAGUGGCGAAGGCGGCUACCUGGACCAGCACUGACACUGAGGCACGAAAGCGUGGGAGCAAACAGG
rnacentral:rRNA from 1 species